rnacentral:rRNA from 1 species
AUGUCCGUUGUGGCUACCGCGGCGGCGGCCGUGGGGCCCGCGCCCGUGGCUCCGUCCGGGAUGUGCGGCGGUGGUGCCGGCGGUGGCGGGGCGAGGAAGAGGAAGGACGUCGUGCACUACCAGGAGGAGGAGGAGGAGGUGGUGGCGGCGGUGCAAGGGGGGCGGCUUGGCGGUGAGGGCCACGGGCUGUUCGUGCUGGAGACGGUGGAGGAAGAGGAGGAAAGGGAGGCCGAGGCUGCCGCCGAGGCGGAAAACGAGCGGUCCUCCAUUGGCCCCGUCUCCGAGGGGGACGAGGAGGAAGGGGAGGAGGUGGAGAGCGCCAGGGAGACGCCGUGGCAGAGGAGGACCAAGAAGACCGGCGGGCUCGCGAGCCUGGACGCCCUCGACGACGCCCUCCCCAUCAAGCGGGGGCUGUCGAGCUUCUUCUCCGGCAAGUCGCGGUCGUUCGCGAACCUGCAGGACGUGGCCGGGGCCGGCACCACCAGCAGCAAGGACGUGCUGGCCAAGCCGGAGAACCCCUUCAACAAGCGCCGCCGGAUCCUGCGGUGCUGCUCCAUCCGGCGGGUCUCCUCCACCUCGCUCACCGCGCUGCCGCCCUUCCUGCCGCCCGAGCCGUCCUUCAACAUCGGCAACGACGGCGUCAUCAACGGCGGCGGUGGCGGCUCCGGCGGCAGUGGCUGA